UACGAAGGGGGCUAGCGUUGCUCGGAAUCACUGGGCGUAAAGGGUGCGUAGGCGGGUUUUUAAGUCAGGGGUGAAAUCCUGGAGCUCAACUCCAGAACUGCCUUUGAUACUGAAGAUCUUGAGUCCGGGAGAGGCGAGUGGAACUGCGAGUGUAGAGGUGAAAUUCGUAGAUAUUCGCAAGAACACCAGUGGCGAAGGCGGCUCACUGGCCCGGUACUGACGCUGAGGCACGAAAGCGUGGGGAGCAAACAGG
rnacentral:rRNA from 1 species